AUAUGAAACGCUGGCAGUGUGAUUAUUCCUGCCCCCGGGCACAUUCCCUGUUUUCCUCCGCUGGGACUCGGCCGUGCCGCAUUGUCCGGGUGCUGCUCCCCUGCAGCCAACAGCAGAUCCUUGUGCAGCAGGAACCAUCCCCUGGGCAGUCACAUUCCCAGCACCGAGUGUUUCCCUGCUCCCAGUUCCAUCCUCUCAACAGGAAUAAAAAGCUGUCUGAUGCCAAGGACCCCGUUGUUUCCUGCCCCAGAGAUCCCAGUAUCCUAAAGGACAUUUAAUACUAUAACUGUGAUCGAGGAGGAACCGAAAUAUUUCUUCAAGACACCUGAGCUCCUGCAGCACUGAGAGCUUUGGGAGCUGACCCUGCCACAGGAGGAAAGGGCCAGCACCUUGCUUUUCAUGGAAUCAAUCAUGGAAUAUCCUGAGUUGGGAGAGACCCAAAAGGACCAUCCAGUCCAACCCAACCACUUUCUGGGGGAAGAGCCUUUCCCUGAUUUCCAGCCUGACCCUCCCCUGACACAGCUCCAGCCAUUAAAGCUUCCCCACAGCUGAGCUGGAAUUGCAGGAAGAGAGGGAUGACCGUGGUUGGUUCCUGGGAAAAAGGAGCUCUGGGUGUCCACCCUGCCAUGGAGGAGCAUCUUCACCUGCUGAUGGGUCAGAAAACUUGCAGAAUCAUUGAGGUUGGAAAAGUCCAGCCAGCACCAAUUCAUCCCCAAGGUGCACAUUAAAGACAAAAUGAUAGAAGCUGGUCUGAGAUGUGUCAGACAAACCAUAUCAUGUCUCACCUCCCCCGGUGAAACAGGAUCUACACAAAGAAACUCCCGUUCCAGGAACACCGGGAAGAUGAAGAGAGAAGAAAAUGAAGUCCCAGGGGAUGACAGGCACCUCUUGGUGUUCAGGAACUCCUCAUGACAUGGUGUCUUCUUGCACUGAUUCGUCCCCAAGCCCGUCCUGGUGCAUCUGGUGGAAGAACAGCUGCUCAGUUAGAUCCUGCUCUCAGGGAUUCAGGAACUGGACACCAAACAAAACGUGGAGGGCCCAGGACUCGGCUCAUCUGUGUGCUCAGAACCAGCCCCAGCUGCCUCAAGCUGCUGCUGAAGUGAUUUUUUUCUAGAAGUAGAUUGAAGGAAGGACCUCAAGUGCAGCUCAGAUGUGGAAAAAAGACUCUUCCAAGUGAGGACAGUGUUUAGUGGCCUCAAAGUUUCCAGCAGAUGGUUCCCCUAGGGCUGAUCACAGCUUCAGCUCUCACUGAUUUGGCAAUUUUGGGUGGCUUCCUGCCAAAACCCACCUGAAAAAUGGCAAGCAGAGAAGUUUGGGAAGUGGGACAAGAGCAAGGUCAGCUGGGAUGGAACCAGCACCACUCUCCUGCCAUCACCUCCAAGUAUCAGGAGCUUAAUUGCAGAUCAAUGGAUUUUAAUUGGCUUCUGCUCACCUCGGAGUUCCCAUUUCAGCCACGCAGAAGAAUUUGGAACAGCAACACAGGGGAGUUCCACCAAGGUGGAGCCUGGACCUGCUUGAGGGAGAGUUUUGGAGAGGCCUGUGGUUGCUUCCACAGAGACUUCAGGCUCUUGUCAAAGCCUCCUUCUCAGCUCCCACGACAAGUGCCCUUGGAUAAAGAAAUGUUGUAUUUUCAAUGCCUGACACGGAGGGUUAGAACAAAAACCCCUCUGGGAAGGAACCAGUGAGCUGUAGGACUUCAGGAGUUUCCCUGCCUGAAUUCAGCAGAGCACUCGUGUUUUCCAUGGAGCAGCACGGAAUUCCUGCCCCUGACAGCCCUGCUGGGGAGCCUGUGUGGAGCUCUGAGCCCUGAUAUCCUGCAGGAUCCCGUUUUCCUUUUCCAGCCCCCCCAGCACAGCACGGAUGUGACAGGGGGACGUGUCCUGCUGCCUGGGACAAGGAAUUUCCGUGGAUGUGACAGGGGAACGUGUCCUGCUGCCUGGGACAAGGAAUUUCCGUGGAUGUGACAGGGGAACGUGUCCUGCUGCCUGGGACAAGGAAUUUCCGUGCCAGGAUGUGACAUUCAACCACUGGUGUUCCAUCCCACAUCCAGAGGGGCUCCAUGGAUGGCUCAGGUGGCUCUUUCCCUAAAUGCUGAAACAGCUGGAGCAGUUGGAAAAUGCCAAUCCCAUUGGGAUUAUUCAGGAUAUCCCUCCCAAAUGGCUUCACUGGUGUGUCCUGCAACAUUCCCCAGGUGCCACGUCUGGACACAAAGCUGCUGCUUAAGACUGGAGCACAGCUGAGCUUUGAAGCAGAGGAGAAACAUGUCUGAGGGUCACGGACAUCUCCAGUCUGGGAGGAUGUGCAAGAAGACACCAUGUCAUGAGGAGUUCCUGAACACCAAGAGGCUGGCAAGGUUUGGGUGGUGGCACCAACCUGGGAGUGUGGGAAGUGGGAAGAGAGUCCCAUCAGUGCUGGAGCUCUUUGGCUCAGAAGGAUCAAUAACAUUUAUUUGCAAGUGUUUAGAGCAGAUUAUUUGCAUUUGUGAAGUGUAUUCCAGGGAAAAUUCCGGAUAAUUUUGGGUGUUCUGCCAUUACAAAACCACCUCCGAGCACAGAUUUCCAUCAAGUCCCCCCCUGCCAGGAGUUCUUGCAGGAGCAUAAUGACAGGUCUGUUGUGCUCGGAAUUGUUUUGUCAUUUCACAUUCCUGGGAACUGCUGAGAAGAAAAAUUAAAUAAAUAAAAUGACCGAUUUGCUCCUAUGAAACUGGGCCUCAGCUGGGAAAAUGAAUUUUUUUUAGAUAAAUAGAUCAGCUUUCUCUCUGCUCCGGGCUCCAGAAUAAAUAACUGUGCUAAAUAUCCAUGUAAAUGUUUCCCACAGAAAAACACACAGCGGGAAAUGAUAAAAAAUACUGGGAGUCGGAGUGGUCACAAAAUGUGGGAUUGCUUUUCUUCCAGGGAAAAUGGACGUGCCCUCAGUGGGUUUUCCAGGUGGGAAAGGGAGGGUGGAACAAAACACGGAGGUUUUAAAGGAGAGCUGAAUAAAACCCUCAGGAAGGUGGUUGUGCUCAUGGAACACUGGAAUUCCUCCAUUGCACGGGGUGGUGGUGGUGUUUGGGCAGAGCUGAGAUUCCUUAACUGGCCUUUCCCUCUCUUAUAUGGAGGGAAUUAUAUAUUUUUAUAUAUAAAUAAUAGAUAUAUAAAUUAUAUUUCCCAUUUAUAGCUUUAACUGGUUGGAGUUUUGGACUCGCUCUGCUCUGUUUCAAUCCUCACGUUCCAGAGAAGGACUGGAAUUCCAUAAACAUCCUGGCCGAUGUUCUGAGCCUGACUGAUGCUUCUCCCCUGGAAAGCUCCUUGGGAACUCGUCUGGACCCGGAGUUUUGUGCUGAGAAGCAGCAGCCGGUGCCAGGAAAUGUGGCCAUUCCAGCCCCAGCCCUCCUGUCAGAGACAGGGAUUUAAUCCUGGCUGAUGGACAAGCACUUCCAUUCCAGGCUUCAACGUGCCCAAGGAUUUGGAAAGAGGAAUAAAGGAGGAAUAAACCCUUCUCCAUUUUACCAGGAGCUGAGUUUCCCAUCAUAAUUCUCUGCUGUUUCCUUUCGCACCUCGGGGACGUCGAUGAGACAAAUAAUUCAGCAUUUCCAGCUGCAAGACAAAUAAUUCAGCAUUUCCAGCUGCAAGACAAAUAAUUCAGCAUUUCCAGCUGCCUGGAAGGAUUUUAACUUCCAGAAAUAACCCCAAAGCUGCUCCCUUGGGCAGCAUUUGCUGCUAAUUCCCUUCCUGGAGAGAGCUGGAAUCCAUCACCUUUUAGGAUAUUUUAUGAGCAGGGUCUGGAGCAGGAGGGCAGAAGGAUUUAAUCCAGAAUAAUGAGAUGUUUGCCUUUUUCCAGGCUUUUUUUUUU